AAAACACAAAUAAUAUAUAUAUAUAUAUAGUAGGGCUAGAAUACUUGUAAAAGUAUCAUGGGGGUGAUACUUGUGUGUUUUUAGCCCUUGGAUGAAGAGAUGUGAGGUUGAGAUGAUGGUGAUAGGUGGUGGUAGGUGGUGGCAGGUGGAAUAGUGUUUAAUCCAAGGGCUAAUAAUAAUCAAAAAGUAGAUCCAAUGGUUUAAAACCUAAUAGCACCAUGAUGGUGAUACUUGUAAAAGUAUCAUAGCUCAACUCUCUCUCUCUCUCUAUAUAUAUAUAUAUGAAGCUACAUCUAUCGGAAGCCCGGAGCUUCGGGCUUCCACUCGUUUUCGAUGUUGCAACUUUCGAAUCGUCGAUCGCUCCGUUAAACUUGAUCUAGAGUAUUUGGAGUACCUAGAAAUAAUUUUAUUAUUUUUUGAUAUCAUUUACUAGUGAUCGAAUGGGCCUCAAAUCAACAAAUUUCAAGGGCCGUGUGUGUGCAGUUUGCAAAUUUAAUGGUGUAGAAAUAUUCAAAUCACGUGAAAUUUUGAUAGAAUUUUUUUAUACUAUAUAAAACAAGUCAAUAUCUUUGAUUUAAAAUUUAAUAUCAUAUUAUUACCUUUGUAAGAUUUUAUUUUCACCGUUGAUUUUGAGCCCUUCGUUCAUUAGGCAAAUGAUAUCGUAAAAUCAUGAAAUUAUUUUCUAGGUACUUCAAAUGCUCUAAUCAAGUUUAAUGGAGCUGAUCGACGAUCGAAAGUCGCAACAUCGAAAAUGAGCUGGAAGCACGGAAGGCUCCGUGCUUCCGAUAGCUAAGUAACCUUACUCUCUCUCUCUCUCUCUCUCUAUAUAUAUAAUAGAGUUGAGCUAGAAUAUCUCAAGGGCACCAUGAAAGUGGUGCUUUUGAGAUUUUAGUCAUUGAUGGAGAGAUCUGAGGUUGAGAUGAUGGUGGUAAGUGUGGUAAGUGGAACAGUGUUUUGAUCCAAAUGCUAUUAGAAUUAAAGAGUAGAUCCAAGGGCUAGAAAUUUAGAAGCACCAAAAAAUUAGUGCUUCUAAAAUAUAUCUAGCUAAAUUAUAUAAAUAUUAUAUAUAUAUAUAUAUAUAUAUAGAGUGAGGCUACUAUGCUAUCGGAAGCCGGAGCCUUCUGUGCUUCCAGCUCGUUUUCGAUGUUGCGACUUUCGAAUCGUCGAUCGCUCCGUUAAACUUGAUCUAGAGUAUUGAGUACCUAGAAAUAAAUUUAUUAUUUUUCGAUAUCAUUUGCCUAAUGAUCGAAUGGGCUCAAAAUCAACAAAUUUCAAUGGCCGUAGUGAGCCGUUUGCAAGUUUAACGGUGUAGAAAUAUCUAAAUCACGUGAAAUUUGAUAGAAAAUUCUUUAUACUAUAUAACAAGAUCAAUAUCUUUGAUUUAAAAUUUAAUGUCAUAUUAUUACAUUUUAUAGAUUUUUAUUUUCAGCCGUUGAUUUUGAGCCUUUUGUUCACUAGGCAAAUGAUAUCGUAAAUCAUAAAAUUAUUUUCUAGGUACUUAAAUACUCUAGAUCAAGUUUAACGGAGCGAUCGGCGUAUUCGAAAGUCGCAACAUCGAAAACGAGGUGGAAGCACGGAAGGCUCCGUGCUUCCAUAGCAUAGUAGUUACUCAUAUAUAUAUAUAUAUAUAUAUAUAUAUAUAUAUAUAUAUAUAUAUAAUAUUAAUAUAUAAUAUAUAUAUAUAUAUAUAUAUAUAUAAUGGACCUCUAUAUUUCCACUUUAUUUUUAACGGCGAGACAUAUAAGUCAACAUUUUUAUCUUCAUUCAAUAUGAUUUACACUAUUAGAAAUGAGUGGUGCUUCCGUACUUUAUUUUUUAAAGAUUAAAUGCACACAGAUUUCUAUAAAUAUAAUAAACUAUAAAUAUAUUUUUAUAAAGUUCAACUUUAAUAUGUUGUUUCUAAAAAAGUUCUAAUAUUUUCAAAUACGUUUCUCUAGUUUGUUACCGUUAGAGAAUUAUUUAUAUUUUAACAGCAAAUAAGUGAAAUCUCAAUUUUGUUAUCACAAAUAUGUUCCUUCAAAAGCUACAACAGUUAUAUAUAUGAGGGAUAAAAAUAUCAAGUUAUCUCAUAAAUUAUCCAGAAUUAAGUAUUUAACCAAUAAUUAACUAAUUUUUACUAACAGAUUCUAACAUUAGGAACAUAUUUAAAAACAUUAGAACUUUACAGAGACAAAAUAUAAAAGUUAAAUUUUAUAAAACACUCUUUGUAUUUUACUAUAUUUGCAUGGACUUGUAUGUAAUUAACCCUAUUUUACUAGUUUGCCGUUCGCUUUCACUUGACGGUCAAGAUUAGCUCCACAACCGGUCAUUGACCGGCUAUUGUAGGUUGUUUCCAAUUCACAGGCUAGCUUUUGCAUGAACCGAGUGCACUAGGCUCAAACUCGUAGAAUUAAAGUUCUUAUUCAAAACAAAAAACCUUAGCAAUGAUAUUAACAAAAAAAUUCAUACAUUUUGAUAUUCGAUUAUAUUCCAGUGAUAUUAAUUUCUUAAUAUCUAUAUAGCACUAUUUGAUACAUAAAUAAUAAAAUUCAAAACUUAUAAUUUUAAUACUUUAUAGUUUGACUUUCUUAAUUAAUAUUGUAGAUAAUAUUAUCAAACUAGUUUUUUGCUAAACCAAACCGUUAUGAGAUUAGGGCUGCAAACGGGGCGAAUUCAAGAGCGGGACGGUUCCCCCACCUCCCACUCUAUUUUUUGUCGGGACGGAAUAGACUCGAAGCAGAUUAUUUUUUAAUUUUAUUUUUUGCUCCCAUUUACUGCCUCAUUUGAGGUAGAUCGGGGUGGGAGCGAAUUUUUGAUAGAUUGAGACGGAUUGAAGGAAGAAAAGGGUCUCCCACCCCUUACUCCAUUUACUUGGUGGAUUAUGGUGGAUUUAGGACGAAUUAUAAUUUUUUAGUAUUUUUUGUUUCUACUUUACCGCCACAUUCAGAGCGGAUCGGGCGGGAGCUCCACCAACCCGGAUCCAUUUGCAUCCCUAUAUGAGAUAAAGUUUGGGGCUUCUGCCAUUAGCUUUGAAGUAAUAUAUAGGGUUUGUUUUGCAUGUAGCUCCCUCAAAAAGAAAUUUUUCUAAAUAAUUUUAUAAAAUUUAUAUUUGUAAGAUUGGUCUUAUCCCUGCCACAUAAGCAUCAUGCCAUCGCAACGCGAGCAUGGAUGGUUGCAUAGGUUAAAUUGAGCAUGAUGAACCUUUCACCAACACGAUGAAAGGUUCACCAUGUUCCAUUAUUUUUUUACUACGCUAUUACGGAAUAUUUGGGGUUUAAGAUUUAAAAAGGAUACGGUAGAUCAUUCAUCGUAUCCAAAUACAAUAUUUGGGGUUUAGAGUUUAGGAAGGACACGAUGAAUCAUUCAUGAUAUCCAAAUAUGACAAAUGGUUUAUCGUGUUCAAUUUAAUCUAUCGCCACGCCCACGUAGCGCUCGCGUAGCGCUUGCGUGACGGGAAUAGAAUUAAUCUUACAAAUGUAAAUUUUGUAGGGCGAUUUGUGAAAUUUUCUGGGAGAGCUAAAUGCAAAAAAAAGUCCUAAUAUAUAUUCUCUAAAUUAUAUAGCGUAUGGGGAAACAAAAAAAGAAAAAGAAAAAAAGUUGCAAGUUGCAAUUGGUGCGUGCUAGAGAUGUUAACGGAUCGGAUUCGGGGCGGAUUUUUAAAAAUCCGAACCCGAACCCGACUCCAAACCUGAGACCCGAACCCGAACCCGAACCCGACGGAUUUUAAAAAUCCAUAUCCAAAUCCGAACCCGACCAAAAAUUUGAAACCUGAACCCGGAUCCGAACCCAAAAAUUUGAAUCCGAAACAAUUAUUUCUUUUUUCAAUAUUUCAAAAUAUAUUAUAUUAAAUCUAAAUUUCUAAAAUACAAAUUCAAAUAUAACAUCAAAUAUAUAUAUAUAUAUAUUAUAUAAUACAAAAUAAAUUCGGGCUCGGUUCGAAUUCGGGUCGGGUUCGGGUUCGGGUCGGGUACAAUCAAAAUUCAUAUCCGAAUCCAUAUAUCCGUCGGGUUUCUAUUUUUGAUAUCCAUAUUCGAAUCCAUAUCCAUAUCCAUCGGAUAUAUCCGUUUUAUUCGGAUUCGGAUUCGGAUAAAAUUUCAGAUAUCCAUACCCAUUGACAACGGUCCCUAGUGCGUGCAAUGAUGAUUGAAACCUUGUUGAGAACCCUCAACGAUAUAGUAUUUUGAAAUAGGCCCUCAACAUUUUGCCAUUGCCCCCAUUAACUUCUAUAUUUUUCUUUUCAUUUGAAUCAUUCCAGUUUGUUAGGAUUAAAACAAUAUUAAAUUUUUUUACUAGCUAUUAUUCUUUAGUUUUCAAGUUUUUAUUUGCUAAAGAAUAAAUAAAAUUUUUAAUAUGAUGAUUAAUAUAUUUGAUAAUAUUGUCAAUUUAUUUGAUUAAAUUUUCUUAAUUUUAACGAAUGAUUAAAUUGUCUUAAUUUUAACGAAAAUAAAAAUUACAAAAAAUUCAGUCAAAACAAAAUAAAAUUGAUGGUCAUCUUAAAACCAUCUGUAGUCUCUAUAUAUUUUUAUUUGGAAUGAUUCUUAUUUCAAUCCUAAAAUAGUGGCAUGGAAUGGAAAAGUGUUUAAAAAUUACCUAUGUAUCACGGACACUUCUAUAAGCCUCGCGUGUUCGUGUCGGACACGUAUGUGUCCGAUGUGGACACUUCUCGGACGUCCGUUAAAUGUAGGGGUGGCAAUCCAGCUCGCUGUUCGUGAGCCGGCUCGUGUUCGGCUCGAAAUGAGCUCGAGAUCAAAUCGCUCGUUUAGUAAACGAGCUGAACACGAGCUGAAUUUUUCGGCUGGUUUAAUAAACGAGCCGAACACAAGCUGGGGUCAGCUCGCUCGUGUUCGGCUCGAUAACAGCUCGAAUACAUAUAUUUAAUAUUUAUAUAUCAAUAAAUAAUUAUACUAUUAAUAUACUUAUUUAUUAUUUAAUUUUUAACAAAAAAAAAAUAUAAAUGCGUGCUUAAUUAUAAAAAAGACUCAUUAUAUGUAAAGUUCAACUAUUACAUCAAAGUCUAAUGAAUAAGAUUUUAUAAAUUUACUUUUUAUAUAUAUUUAAUUAAUCUUUUUUUUUUAUUGUUGUUAGCCGGCUCGUGUUCGGUCCGUUAAUAAAUGAGUCAAACCGAGCUGAAUUUUUUCAGUCGAUACUUUAGCGAGCCAGCUCGUGUUCGGCUCGUUAAUAAACGAGCCGAACACGAGCUGGAUUUUUCGGCUCGAUACUUUAGCGAGCCAGCUCGUGUUCGGCUCGUUUACACCCCUAGUUAAAUGCCAACCCAUAGCGCAUAUAAGUAAAAAAAAUAUAGACCUAUUUUUAUUUUAUUUUUUCUAUACAUAUGUAAUUAAUGCACGAUAAUAAAUAUUUUAGUUUUUUAAUAAAUGCAUAUAAUUUUUUUUGAGAAUAUAAAUAAAUUAUAUUUGGUGGAGAUUUUUUUUUCUUAAAAUAUAUGAACUAUCAAUGAAAAUUUUACUAACUUUCAUUUGUAUGACAAAUAUAACAAUAUUUUACCAAAAUUAAUAUUUUAUAUAUAAUCAAAAUAUAUUAUUAUAUUAAUAAUAUUAUAUUUUAUUAGCGGUGUUCAUGUCGUGUCCGUGUCUUAAUUUUUUGAAAGUUGUCGAGUCACGGUAUCCGAGUCGUGUCGUGUCCCGUGUCCCGUGUCAUUGUCCGUGACGUCUAGAAAAUUACUAAUUUUAACAUGAAAAAGAAAAGUGAUCUGAUAACCAAGUGACUCUUUGAAUGACAAAUUUCUCCUUAACAAAUCAAUGGAUGAAGUAAUUCCUCUUAUUAUAGAGAAAACGAAUGGAAGCAAAACUCGUUAGAAAUAUCUAAAUAUCAAAUUUUAUGAUUUUUAAUAAUAUAUAUUUAGUGAUCGAAUGGUCUCGAAAUUAACAAAUUUUAUGACAGAUGUGAUAUAUAUGUUAGCUUAAUGUUAUAAAAUAAUUCUUAUCACAUAGAAUUUUGAGAGAAAGUUUUGAUACGUACUUCUGAUAUAAUUAAGACUCAAUUUGAGUCUUAUAUCAUCAAUUUUUUUAUUAUUUUUUAUGAUAUUUUUAUUUGCAAUUAUUUAUUUGGAAACCACUCGUUCAUCAGGUAAGUGAUUCGCGUGCUCCACUAAAGAUACGAAAUUUUGGAUCACAUUGUAAAAUAUUUUAACCACUUAGUACCUUUAUACGAUUAGCUAUUGAUUUGCUUACGUUAACUACUAAUAAGAUCCUAUAAUAAUCUUACAACUCACACGUCUCCACUUAACUUUAUUAGAUUAAUAAUAGACAUAAUUACAUAUUAAUUAUACAUAUGAUUGGUAUCUGAAGUUUAAGUUCGAAACUUAAUUGCUUUAUAUUAUUAGCUAAGUUCAUUUCUAAAGAACGAACGAAGCAGGUAGCUCAUUUAUCUUCCUCUCAGAAAACGGAAGAACGUAAUAAAAUUUGUAUAUUUUUAUAAAAAGUUGAUAAAAUAUUAUUGUUACAAAAUCUUUAUAGCUUCUUAGUAUAACGUACUAGGUACAGGAAAAACAUCACAUUUAUUUAAUCAUAAAAUUAAAGUGCCGCGUGCUAAGGUUGAUGUGACCAUUUAAUCUUAGGAAUCAUACAUGUCAUAUGUAUGUUAGGGCUAAAAUGCUCACUCCAUAUGACCCAAAAAAAAAAAAAAGAAAAAAAAGAAAGAUUCAGAUACAGAGAACAAACUAUAAUUAGACGCAUUAAGAGAUUUGUUUUUUUUUUUCUUUUGGAAAGAAAAUGAGAUCAGGGAUUUGAGUGCAUGCCAAACAAUGAAAAAUACAUGAACGAAUUAAAUUUGCUCAAGUGAUCAAUUGUUUAACGUUAUCAUUUUGCCUUUGACUUUGCUCUGAACCGUCCAUAAAUUAAUAUUUAAUAAAAAAGUUUUAAAUAUUUUGCUGUAAUAAAAAGGCUAUUAAGAUUCGGAGCAUCAAAAGGAUCUAUUAAUUUGGUACCGAAGAUUAUAAAACUAGCUAUUAGAUUACAAAGAGUUAGAACAAAAAUAUAUAGAAAUUUAUUAAAUCCUACAUUUUCUGAUGGGAUUCACUAUAAUAAAAACGGUCUAUAAUGACACUUUUAAAUGUAGGUACAUGUCAAAAAAGUGCUGCUAGCUAAAAUUACCGACACUUUUAAAAAGUGUUGCUAUAUGUGGGGUCGCUAGGUAUAUAGUGACAGUUAAAGAGUGUCGCUAUAAUCUAAAAGAGUGCUGCUAAUUUACCAAUACUUAUUUAAGCAUUUAGCAACAGCCGAAACUCUAUCUCGUUGGCUGCGGUGGCGGAGGAAGACGACAGGAAACGCUCUUCGUCUAGAAUUUCAGUGGAUUGAGUGAAGAGAGAAGAAAAGAUGGUAAUUGAAUUUUCUUUUUUUUUUUUCUUUUCUAUUUGUAAUCGGGCCAAAUGGACUGGGUGUGGUGGGUUGAAUAGAGUAAUAUUUUAUUUUUUGUUGGAUUGAGCUUUAUAUUUAGGCAUUAGUAGAUAUUUUUUUAAGUUUAAAAUAAAUGGGACACUUACUCAAAAGUGUCCCAAACAUGUGUCCCUAUAACCUAAUUCUGUUGUAGUGAUUAUAUAAAUUAGGCACGAUAACCAAGCAAGUUAUUGCCGUAUAUAAAAUAUGACAUCUUUUUGUCGUACUUAAUUUCACAUAAUUCAUAAUGCAUAAUGCAUUCUUCUUACAAUUCCACACUGAGCGAAAAAUAAGAGUCCUAAUUAUAUUUUAACUUAUUGUGAGUUUCCGAUGUAUAACGUAACUUAGACGAUACUAAAUUUGUGUACAACAUUAGAGAUUAAACUACACUAUAGCUUUACUUGAGAUUAUAAGCAAAAUACGUUAUGUACAUUUAGAGAAUGCAUGCAAUAAAAAAAAUUAUUAUAUAUAAUGUAUUCUCCCUACAAUUUCAAACGCAGCCAAAAGUAAAAGUUCUAAUAUUUAACUUGCAUGUUGUGAGUUAGUUUCCGAUGUAUAACUUAACUUACGCAAUUAAUACUAAAUUUUGUGUACAACAUUAAAGCUUAAACUAUCUUACGUACUAGGGUUGUCAAUGGGUAUGGAUACCCGAAAUUUUAUCCGAAUCCGAAUCCGAAUGAAACGGAUAUAUUCGAUGGAUAUAGAUAUGGAUUCGGAUAUAGAUAUAAAAAAUAGAAAUCCGACGGAUAUGGAUUCGGAUUUGAAUUAUACCCGACCCGAACCCGAACCCGAACCCGAUCCGAACCUGAAUUUAUUUUGUAUUAUAUAUAAUAUAUAUAUAAAAAUUUGAUGUUACAUUUGAAUUUAUAUUUUAAAAAUUUAAAUUUAAUAUAAUAUAUUUUAAAAUAUUGAAAAAUAAAUAAGGGUAUGGAUUUUUAAAAUCCGUCGGGUUUAGGUUCGGGUUCGGAUCUCGGGUUUGGAGUCGGGUUCGGAUUCGGAUUUUUAAAAAUUCGCCCCGAAUUCGACCCGUUGACCUCUACAACGUACAGCUUUACUCGAGAUUACAAAUAGAAUACGCUACGUACAGUUAGAAAAUACGAUAAAAAAUUAUCCCCUUUUGUUUCACCACAAACUCCUGAGGAGCGUAUCUCCACACGUGUACUCUCCAACUCUUCUUUUUUUUAACCCAACAACAUCAGUGGUAUACUAGUACCAUCAUGAAAAGUACAUAAUCCAACCACACUCAUUAAAUGUUUAUUCUAUACCUAAGUAUAUAUGUAUCUUUAUAUAUAUAUAUAUAAUUAUCAAGUGUAUAAAUCUAUUGCACGCGCCUAAAAGUGCAUGCCAUGCAUGUACAUAUAUUAUCGAUCUUAGUACAUACCUGUAGGCAACAUAGCUAAAGAGUUCCCUACACGCGUAUCUCUCUUUUUCCAUGCCAAAUAGAGACAAUUUGGUGAAAAUGGUGCAUCCACAGGAACCUAAUCCUGAUCCUAGUUAUCUCCCAUUAAUUAAAUUAAAUUGACCCAAAAGUGACACCCCUCUUUAAUGCAUUGCUUGCCCUAGAAGCUCUACCCAACUCCUACACCCCUUGAUCACAGGACACAUAGCAGUUGCAACAAUUACUAGUAUACCAAGUCAUUGGAGGGGGGGAAAGUGAGAGCUUUUGUGUUAGUGGCUGCAGCAAUCAAGCAAUAGCUCUUUAGUUGAGAAGCCAAUUAGAUUAAGGUUAAGCAACAUGACAAGCUUUGUUAACGCCGGGGUUUAGUUGAUUAAUGGUUCUUUAAUUGCUUUUUAGUGCUGCUUUGCUAGCUGUAACCUAUGAUGUCCCUGAGAGAACGGAAGGUUAUGUUUUUUUAGGGUUUGUUUAUUUCUAGGGGCGGAGCCUGAGCUUUCGAGCGGCAGGGGCGCGACUGACAGAUGUACAAUAUUGUAACACACUAAUGUUAUCUAUCAUGUAUAUGUAUACAAUUAAUGUUGUCUAUGCUACAACCAAUAUUCAACAAGAUAACAUUUCAAUAUAGGAGCACAUUGUAGCCAAUAAAUGAGAUACAGAGAUUGAAUGAGCAAUAGUACAGGAAAAUAGAGUAUAUACAUAUAUUUAGUAUUCAAUGUGUAUUAAUUAAACAAUUCAAAAAAGUAUAUAUAUUUUAACUUCAUCGAUCUCUCACUUUUAUAGUUGAAACUAGUUAGUGAUAUAAUGACAAUACAGUUACUUCUGGCACAUGAUCUUACUUUUGUUUCUGUUUUUAGGGAUUAGUAUUUAACAAAGUUUUUUUAAAAAAAUCCUAAAGAUUAUGUUAAUUUAGUGAACUAAAAUAGGAUUAUAGCCUUAAAAAUGAGAGCUAUAUAUAAUUUCAUAUUCAUGGAUUUGCUCCGAAACGGCAAUAUGAACAUCUAAAUAUAUAUAUAGUGCAUUUUCUUAUAGCAGUAUUUAAACAGCACCUUCGGACUUACUUUUUUGGUUACUUGAUAAUAUGUGAAAUGGUCAAAGUAGUAGAUCUAACGAUGAAAAACUUCGUAGUACCAAGUAUUUGGUGCUAUUAAUAGUAUAGUAGUUUGGACUAUAUAUAUAUGUAUAUAUAUUAUAGAAGCAAUUGGUUAUAUACCCUUGAAGUUUCCGACUUUCCGAUUUACCCCUCUUAGAAAGCUAAUAUUAAUGAAAAUACCUUUUUUAUGUUUUAACCUAUUUCUAAUAUACCCAUAGAGUUAAAAUCUGUUAAUAAACUCUGUUAUCUCUGUAAAAUUACUAUUGUGCCCUUUCAAAUAUACCCUUCCACCAUCAGCGACUUUCUUAUUUGCCCUUGAAGUCAGGGGCACAAAAAGUAUUUGACUUUUGGUUUUUUCAAAUGUACCCUUUUACCGUCACCAACAUUUCUUAUUUGCCCUUGAGUAAAGGGCAAAAUUGGCAUUUUAAUUUUUUUUAACUGUAGUAGAUAUUUAACUCACGUUUAACCUAAGUUAAUUUAACAGGGGAUAACUGCGGGGGUAUUUUGUAAUAACGGUAGAACAUAUGAAGGGUAUUUUAGAAAAAAAAAAGAAGUAGGAAUAAAUCGGAUAUUUUCAAACAUAUGAGAGGUGUAUAGACAAUUAUCCCUAUAUUAUAUAUAUAAAAGGAGGCGUAAAAAAGCUGUAUUGAAUAACAUUAUCUCUAAAAAGUAAUGCCCACACUCAUAAAUUCUCCUUUGGAGCUUCUCUUGAACUAUGCAGCAUAUUUACUUUUUUUUUGAGAGAAAAGCAGCAUGUUGUACACUUCAUUCAUAUAGGAAAUGAAUUCAGCUAUAAGAGUUGAGGCAACUCAGCCUCGAAAAAAUUAAAGGCAAUCGCAAAAAAAAGAAAAGAAAAAAAUAGCCAAUCACUUAGAGUUGCAGAACUCAACCUACUUCCUCUCCCCGUCCCGAAUUCAUCUACUAGUGAUUGGGGGAUCUGAAGAUUAGUUUCUAGAAAUUACGUUACUUCUUUCUCGGCAGAUCAUCCACCAACAAGCUGCAACCUUUGUCAAUUCUUUCGCUGAUGCCCUUUGAGAGUGAUUCUUAGUCACAAAUUCUCUGACACACCUGGCCUCCACUAUAGACCCCACCGUGUAGUUCAUAUGAGGAAUUACUAGUUGAGAUUAGGGGAUCUGAAGAUUGGUUUUUAGAAAUUACGCUAUUUCUUUCUCGCCAGAGCAUCCACCAACAAAUUGCAACCUUUGUCAAAUCUUUCGCUGAUGCCCCUUGAGAGUGAUUCUUAGACAAAAACACUCUGACACACCUGGCCUCCACUAUAGACCCCACCAUGCAGUUCAUAUGAAGAAUUACUAGUUCUUUUUUUCGCCAAAAAAAAAAAAGCUUUGUUUUUAGUUCUUCUUUGUCGAGUACAUAUUAUGCCGUAAGAUUUGGACGAUUGCAGCAUGUGUCCUAAUAGAACGACAUGAAGAACAUUAUUUUUAGGUAAGAAUAUUCGGCUUACACAGAGCUUCAGUAAAAAUAUGCUGCUUGAAUAAAACUAUUCGGAAAUUUAUCUUUUCUCUUCUAAUUUAUACGCCAGCACUAAUACUUUUUUUUCACGAAGAAUCUUGUACAUACCCAGCUUUUGGUGCUCCAUGCCAGCUGCGACCUAUGUUGCAAGAAAAGGACAAGAGAGUCAGGAGACAUGAAGAAGAGAUUACGUUUUAGGGCUUGUUUAGCUCAUCUUACAACUUUUACAAAAAAGCACUACUAUUUAAAAAGAACUAGAAGUACUAUUGGAAAACACUCGUACAAUAAUAAUCAUUAAAGUACUCUUCAAUAAUACUCCUCUUUUGUAUAGUUUGUAAUAUGAUCAGGAGUUUUGAAUUUGAGCUUCUACUUAUAAUUCUAAAUUACUUGCUUGUUUUACUCUCUCGGUAAAAUAAGUAGGUUAGGAUGUUAUCUAGCAAGCAUUGGACAACCGCUUAUUAAAGUAGGAAAGAAAAAGCUAUGGUCAAGCGACUCCGGAAGCUAGAAGAUCAAUACGAGAAAUGUACUUUUUAGGGUUGGCCAAUUUGACCUACUAGGAGCUUCUGGAGAAACAAUAUCUGAGCACAGGUACAUAAAAAAAGUACUAACAAUUUUCUUACAAAAAGUUCCUUCGAUAACAUUCCGUAUUUGUGAGUUCUGCAAUAAAAUAUGUAUAGGAGUCUUAAAAUUGGCUCGAAAAAUAACUUUAUAUACUAAUAAAUAAAGAUUUCUUAUUUUUUUUUUUAUUUUUGUGAUUGCAGUCAAGGAGUUUGAUUUCAUUCCUUGAAAGAUUCUGACAUCCAUAACUUGUCCGUAUACAGCUACAUCAAAUAAUUAACUAUUACUUUUAGAGAAGAAAACAGAAUUUCAAAUAAAAUUGCGCCAAAUUAUGGGCCAAAAAUCAUUAAUUAACCAGCAAUCAUUAAGCGCGUCUUUUUCUACGCAUUAAUUGUGGUGUACAAUUGUGCUUAGUGUGCGGUCUGCUUGGCAUACAUUUAUAGAUGCAGUACUAUGACCUACAGCAAUGAGCUUUCAACAGAGUCUACAACACUCUUUUUAAGUCACACAGUUUUUCUCCCGUGCAAUACAGUUUGAUAGAAAUCUGAUUACAUACUACAAUAAAAUAUAUUUUAGACGAUAUUUUAUUCCAGCAUCUUUAAUAUUUGGCAUGUGUUGAUAUCAUAAUUAAGCAUCACUAAUAAAUAUACUCGACGCAUGUCGAUAUAUUUAUUUCAACAUAUUUACUUAAACGAUUCUUUACUCGACGUUUUUAUAAACAUUAGGCUUAUUUUUGCCGAUGCUUUAGAACAUUGCCAAUUUUUAUUUAAAGUGCCCUUAAAUAUAAGAUUUGUUAUACGGAUACGUUGAUGCCAGUUGUUAGGAUAAAAAUAGAGCCAACGUGAAAGCAAGGGUGUAGGUUAAUUGGGCUAUAAAGAGAGAGAGAGAGAGAGGGAAAAUGAUUUGACCAUGAUUUGACUGAGGGGGGGAUAGCCAUUGAUUUGGCGGCUGAGAUUUGAGGUGGGAGGGUGUGGACGGGAGCGGAUCACGUUACACGUGACGAUGCGUGACAAGUCUCUAAAUCCGGGGUUAAAUUUGACCCCCCAAUUACGUACGUUCACAUUCCCCACCUCUUUGGGGUUACAUCAACCCCUUGCAAAAGUUUCACGCAUAUCUCAAUUUUAUUGUGUUGAAUGCUUUUGAUCAGGGUAAUUAUGUUUAGGUAAAGCGAGAUAGACGCGGACAUGCCAUGAUUGUUACUGUUAAUUACCUAACAUGUGUGAUACGACUGGUUAGGAAGUAACUCGAACGUAAUAAAAAAAAUAUAUAUUAUCAUUAACAAAAACUUUUUUACUAUAUAUAUAUAUAUAUAUAUAUAUAUAUAGAAUUAUGCUACUAUACUACCAAUAGUACCAACCCCUUGGUACUAUUGAGUUUUUAGCCGUUGGAUGAAAGGAUGUGCGGUUAGGAUGAUAGUGGUCCCCUAGGGUUGAGUGGGUGGUUGGUUUACUAGUAUAAUCUAACAGGUGGAAGUGAUCAAUAGGUAGAUCUAACGGUAGAAAAUUCAAUAGUACCAAGGGCUUGGUACAAUCGAUAGUAUAGUAGCCGGACUCUCUCUCUCUCUCUCUCUCUCUCUNAUAUAUAUAUAUAUAUAUAUAUAUAUAUAUUUAAGUACUUAUGGGUAACUCGGUAUUAAGAAGACCAUUCAAAGUUACGCGUUCUAAGCAAUGCUUCAAAAUCAUUUUGACUCGGCUAGUUUGACUGCUUGGAUUGUAGAGUGGUUUUCUUAUGGAAAAACUGCAAAACCCCCCGUGGUUUCGCAUUUUCUCACCUUAGUACCUUGUGGUUUUAUUUUUAUCUUUCCGACAGCUUUUUCGUUAAUAUUUCGUUAAAUUAUAUACAAAAAACUUCAGAUACCCAUCUAGGUUUAUCGAAUAUUCACUUUAGUAUUCUUUAAUUUUAACUUUGUCACUGAUUUAAGAAAAAAAUAGUAAAAUUAAUAAUAAAAGGAGAAAAUGAAACCACAGGGUACUAAAUUGAUGCACUUUAAACCACAUGGUACUAAAGUGAAAAAGUGCGAAACCAUAGAAGGGUUUUUGAAGUUUCCCUUUUUCUAUGGAAAAACUUCAAAUACUACCCUCGUGGCUUCGCACUUUUUCAUUUUAAUACUCUGUGGUUUAAAGUGUAUUAGUUUAGUAUCCUGGAGUUUCGUACUUUCCCACUUUAGUAUUCUGUAGUUUAAAAUGCAUCGAUUUAGUACCAUGUGGUUUCAUUUUUCUCUUUUCGUCUGCUCUUCUGUUAAUAUUUUGUUAAAUUAUAUACAAAAAACUUCAGAUAGCCUACCUAGAUUUAUCGAAUAUUUACUUUAAUACCCUUUAGUUUUAAUUUUGUUACUGAUUUUUUUUCCUCCGAUAAUAUUUCUUUAAAUAAUAUACAAAAAACUUCAAAUAUCUUAUCUAGAUUUAUCGAAUAUUCACUUUAGUACCCUUUAAUUUUAAUUUUGUUACUGAUUUAACGAAAAAAAAUUAAUUGAUAAUCAAAAAAGAAAAAUGAAACCACAUGGUACUAAUUUGAUACGCUUUAAACCACAAGAAGUACUAAAGUGAGAAAGUGCGAAACCAUUGGAACUAACUUGAUAUACUUUAAACCGUAUGGUACUAAAGUGAGAAAAUAUGAAACCACAUGGGGUAUUUGAAGUUUACCCUUUUUCUAUUUUCGGUCGAAGCAUAAAAUCGAUGGUUAAUUGGCUUAAAAACUCACUUUUGACCUGCUCAAAUAGGUAGUUAAACUAGUAAAUUUGUGAUUAUUGAUCUUUGGUUAAUUAUGUGGCCUAGAACAUUUAAUGAAUUUUGUGAAGCUUCUAAAACUCUCAUAUAGCUGGCCUAAUUAAGUUACUUUUUCCUCAUGUAAUAUAGCUGGCCAAAAGUUACUUUUUCCUAAUGCAAUAUAGCUGGCCUAAGUUACUUUUUCCUCUCUCCAAUAUUCUAUUGUUUUAUAUUUAAUUAUAAUUAUAUUAUUUACUAUUUUAAUAUAUAUAUAUAUAAACAAAAUUAAUAAUUUAUAAUGACACCAUAGGAUCGAUGAACAUGUUUAAUCACUGGUUGAAGCAGUGAAUUCUGAACCAACACAAGUGGUGUUUGAUAUUGGUUCUAUGUAUUUACCUAUAUUAUACAAUUCUUUUUCUUUUUCUUUUUUUUGAGAGAUAGGUAGCAUGUAAAGAUGUCUGUGGACCGGGUCGGGUCUGGAUAAUUAAUAUACUGUACUCAUACCCUAAAAAGAAUGGUUAUAAAAAAAUUUAUAUACCCUACCCAUUUAACUUCGGGUCGGAUCCGGAUCUGGGUACUAAAGUUACUAAUAUACCCAUCGGGUCUAUUUGAGCGGGUCUGGGUAGUGACUACCCGUAUACUACCCGUUCAAGACCGGAUAUGGAUCGGGUUUAGAUCGGGUACAGAUAUCCGUAUUAAUAUAUUUUUUUUAUAAACUUUAUUAAAUAGUCAAUAGACAAACUAUAAAGCCCACCAUAAAAAAACUCGCAUUCUAAUAAAUUGUACCGUCCAAUAAAAUUCAUUCAAAAGAAAUAUUGUCGCUGAUGAUGAUGAUGACACUGAUGAUGAUGAUGACAAUGAAAUAUUGUUGGCGGAAAUGAAAUGAAAAAAAAAGGAGUAGAAAACAAAGAGUAAAAAAAUUAGAAAAAAGUAAUGAGUAAAAGAGACGGCUAGGGUUUCAUUAGGAUGAAAAUACGUAGUGACUCAUCAUUUAUAAAUCAUAUUAAAAUUGAUCCUUCAACUUCAAAAGUUUAUUUUUUUUUUAUUUACUAUCGGAUAUUUCAUCGGGUCCGGGUCCGGGUUCGGAUUUGAAAACUAUUCCGGACCCUACCCGUUUAAAAGUUAGGUUCGGGUCUGGUCCAAAUCGGGUAUGGGUAUAAAAUAUCCGGACCCAUACCCGAAACUUUAAUGGGUAAUUUUUUUUAUCCGUAUACUAUUCAUUUUUUAUCGGGUCCGGUUCGGAUUCGGUUCGGGUCCGGAUAGGGUCCGGAUCGGGGGAUAUCGAUAUUUUGGACACCUUUAGUAGCAUGCUACCUGCUUCGUUUAUUUCAUUUAGAAAUAAAUUUAGCUGGAAAUGUGAACCAACUAGGAUUCGAACUUGGGUCUCGGGUACCGACCACCAAGCCCUUUGCCACCAACAUAUAUAAUAUAUGUAUAGAGUAGAACUACUAUACUAUCGAAAGUAUAGAGAAUUUGGUGUUUUCUAUUUUUUGGCUCUUAGAUCAGCCCCUUUAAUCAUCUCUAAUGUUUGGAUUAAUACUAUUACCCUAUAGGGACCACUCAAUCCUAGGGAUACUAUUCAACUCUAUGGGAGAUCGUAAUCAUUUCAACCGUACAAUUUUUUAUCUAAAGGUCAAAAAGUCGGAUGCAUUAAAUUCUCUAUAUUUCCUAUAGCAUAGUAGCUCUAUACAUAUAUUGAUAGCAUUAAGCUCUUGAUAUUAUCGAGUUUUCCGCCGUUAGAUUUACCAUUUGAUCAUUUCCACCCAUUAGAUUAUACUAUUCAACCAAUCACUCACUCAAUCCUAGGGAAGCAUUAUCAUCCUAACCGCACAUCUUUUCAUCCAACGGCCGAAAACUCGAUCGCACCAACUGCUUGGUACUAUUGAUAGUAUAGUAACAUAAUUAUAUAUAUACACACACGCAUAGAAUCAACUAUUAAGUAGCUAUUGGUUUUUUUUUUUUUUUAACCAUUCCCUAUUUCAACAAGCGAAAUCGACAAAUCAGUAGCAACUGUAAAAUGUUUGUACAAAACUAAAUGUUGUUAAAAAAUUUAAGGAACAAAGCAAUAAUAAUAUAUUCCAAAACCCAAACAGUUGCUUCCAUAAAAGCUCUAGUAUCCAACUUAAUUAAUGAAACAGACAUCAACAGUAAAUAAUUAAAAAAAUGCUGUAAAAAGCACUUAUAGGAAUUAAUGACUAUGAUGAUAUCACCAUUUACAACCCCAAGAAUAGAAAUAUAUAUAUACAUAUAUAUAUAUAUAAUAAAUUAGAAAACUACUUAAAAUGGUCUCUUGUAGCUUUCAAUAAGCCAAUGAUAGGGUCUAGAAGAAUAUAACCAUAACUAGCAAUUAUGAAUUGCAAUAAUCAUUUGAGUGUACAUCGAAAUUUCAAUAAUGAGACAAUCUAAUUCACCAUUCACACAUUUCAAAAUCCGAGCAUUAAUGAUGGAUGGCAUGUUAAUCAAAUUGUCACGCUGUGAUUAAAGAGGUUUCCUGCAUAUAUAUAUAUAAGUCACACUCAUACAUGAGGAGAUAACUUAGUGAACAAAACUUAAUUAUAUGGGGACCCGGUUCGCCUACUUUACUGUUCAUGUUGCUUUAAAAUUCGAGCGCUAAAUGUGAUGGGUGGCGGAUUAGAUCGCCUAAUUGUAUGAUGAGUCUCAUAUAUGUUUUUUCUUUUCAUUUCUUUUCACAACUGUUGGACACAGAACGAUUUUCUGUGUAAUCCAUUAAGAAUAUGUUUGGAUACUGUGGGAUUUUAUUGCAGAGCAAUAAUAUAUAUACCCAGUGGGGCUACUGCACUAUUCAUGUUGUUUUAAAAUUCGAGCGCUGUAAGUGAUGAGUGGUAGAUUUAAAUCGCUCACCUGUAUGAUGAGUCUCAUAUAUUUCAUUUAUUUUUGUAACUGUAGGACACAGGAUGAUUUUCUGUGUAAUUCAUUAAGGAUCUAUUUGGAUACUCCUUGGGGUUUUAUUGAAGAGCAAUAAUAUACUAUAGUAUGUGGAUGGUGGAUUCCAACUCCGAGCUCCUUUCACAAAACAACAAAAAACUUAUAAUAAUACAAUAAAAUUUUGGUGAUAUAGUUCAAGCAUAUCCUAAUGAAGUACAUGAAUAUAGAGUUCUAGACUUUUUUUUCUUUGUUUUGUAAAUAAUCUUACAAAAAAAAUUAAUUUUCUUUCAAAAAAAAUUAAUUUUUUUAAAAUUUUAUCUAGGCAGAUAUAUAAUUCUCGACACGUAAGUCAUAAGAUGAUAUAUAGAUCGUUCGUCACUUACAUAAUGAAUUAUCUAAAGAGGGUGAACCAUUCUGAUCGAUCUUUAAAGAAUGAUAAAUCAUUCACUGUUUACUUUUUAAAAAUGUGAGACAUCGCAAACGCUUUAGCUACCUGACACGUCUACGUGGCAAUGGCGUGGCACGGCAAUAAGAUUAUUCACCCAAAGAUAUUAAUUAUUUAUCCGAAUUAGUUCAAAUUUUUCAUAAAUUCAUUUUCUCCCCCCAAAAAAAACAAAAAAAAAAAAAAAUCUCUUUGGUACACUCCUAUACAUGAUAUACAUAUAUCAACUCCCCACACCACACAAAAUAUGGCUGGCUCUGGAGCUGGACAUUUGGACGGCGGAGAUUCGCCGAGGCUCCGUAACGUGUUGCCAAUCUCCUUUUGAUCGAGUUGGUAGUUGGACUAUGAAUAGUUUUGGCUUUAAGCUUUGAUGGCCAUAUAAUAACAAGUGUUACACACAUGCUAUUGCAUGUGUUGUGGCUCGUUUAUACGUGUCCAAGAUCAACGGUCUCAAACGCUUUUGCGGUGUAACACACACACACACCAUGCAUAGUGCGAUGGGGGGGGUGCACCCACAAAGUCUAAGAGGAUAUGAUUAGAAAGGGUGAGAUGAGACGCCAAGUUUUUAGCACAAUUAUUAAAGACAAUAAUUAAUAAUGCUGGCUCACACAACAUGCAUGUUGUAUAUACCAUGUAUAUUCUUUUGGCCACCUUUGUAAUUUUUUUUUUUCUUUUUUUCUCUUUUUGUGUGAGGGAGCUAUAAAUAGGGGGGCUUGUGAGGUUCCAAGGUAGUAGUGGACAGAGUAAGCUUGGGUUCUCAUCCACUCUCUCUCUCUCUCUCUCUCUCUCUCUCUCCUUUGCCAAAUUAGUGUCUUAAGGCCCCAGUGCUUAAGGAUGUUGGUCAUAAGAAUUGAGAACCCAUUGGCCACUGGAGUGGGUCUUAUAGGUGAUGAUUCUCUCUCUCCUCUUCUCUCUCUCCGUCGUAAAAAAAAAAAAAAAAAAAAAAUUACGAGAGAUCGAAUCGAUCGUCUUCUGAGACGCAGCUCUCCUUUUCUGAAAAUUGUAUUUCAUUCUGCGAUGCUUUAAAAGUUUGUGUGGAGUAACGACAUGCUCGAUGCAAAUAUGCUCUCUCUCUCUCUCUCUCUCUCUCUGAGAGAAAAGUUACAAGUAAUACUAUGCUUUGAGAGAAAAGCUACGAGUAAUACUAUGCUUUAAAAACUUACUCAUGCGGGUAUAUAUAUAUAUAUAUAUAUAUAUAUAUAUAUAUAUAUAUAUAUAUAUAUAUAUGUUUCACUGACGCGUGUUCACGAAUCACGAAGUUAAUAAGCUUAUAUAUAAGUUGGUUUUGUAAGCGUAGUGUUACUCAAAAAGUUUACAGGAUCUAUAUAUCUUCAUGAUAAUAUCGCAGCAAUGUGAUCGAUGAUCUUAACACAAUCUUGUUGUGAAAUAAUGCAGGCAACGUACUAUCGUUCUUGGUUAUCCUCGCACCAUUGUAAGCAACUCUUUUGCUUCAAACUCCUCUCUCCAAUCCGUACAUAAUAAACCUUACUCACAAAUGAAGAGAUGAGAUGACCAAACUAUAUGUUUUUCUCUCGUAUCUUCGCUUUCGCAGGCCGACGUUCUACAGGGUGUACAAGAAGAAGUCGACGGAGGGGUUCCACUCAACGCCCUACGUGGUGGCGCUGUUCAGCGCCAUGCUGUGGUUCUACUAUGCGCUGCUCACGACCGACGUGCUGCUGUUCACCAUCAACGCCCUCGGUAGCGUCAUCGAAUCGAUCUACCUCGUGAUGUACAUCGCUUACGCGCACAAGAAAGCCAGGGUACUUCCCCCUUAUUUCUCUCUCUCUCUCUAUUUUUUGCGCGCGUUUUUCUUUUUCUCUUUGUGUUUUACUGAGCUGAUCCUAAGAAACAAAAGUUUCUCACGUAAGAGUGCAAGGCCCCAUAAUAUGGAAGGGGAGAGAGACGCACAAUAAUUAAGGAUUCUCUUUCUCUCUCUUUUGUUAGUUACUUAAUGAACUUGACAACUCAAAGUUACUAGGUAUAUUUAUCAUUCAAACUCUCUUCAAAGAGCCUUUUUAGUGGUCCUCUCUGAUUCCACGUAUAUGCAUCGCUUUUGCGCUUUGCAAAUAAACUUCUAUCUCAUAAAGCAGAAGUUUUAAUUUAAAGCUCUUAAUUUGCUUUAGAAACAACGAAGCAUUUAGUAUCGUUUGUUUGUAGGCAUAAUAUUAGACACCGCAAACGAUUAAACAUAAAGAUUCCAUCAACUUUAUGAUCAAUGGUAAAAUAUUCUAUAAUGUUCUCCUAUUUCCUAAUAGAUAGAAUAGUUUUGCAUACAAAUAUUACAUUAGAGAGGAAUUUACAAAAUUAUUGGUACUUUUCAUAGCAUUACUCUUUGCAUUUAAGUCUUAGUUUUUUGGAGUUCAGAGGAUAAAAGUUCUCGCGCAUUAUUAACCACAAAACAACUUGUGAAAGUCUAAAUCACUCACCAUAGAGUAAUUAUAUAUAUACUAGAGAUAAAGGUUUCUUUUCUCUAUGAGAAAGUGAACAAAAGCAAAAUGGUGAAAUGACCAAGGAAAGCAUGCAUCUUAAAUGUGACUAAACACUCAUCACAAGAUCAAAUCCUCGUUUCUGUACCAAAAAUGGUCCCCUAAAUGGUACACAUAUAGUGCAAAUGUCACUUCUACAUUUCAAAGAAUCUCAGUACCAAACUCAAGAUAAGAUUCUUAAACUAUAUGAGACAUAUUGGAACAGAUUAUUUGAGACAAUAUUAAGAACUAUUCCACUUUUUGUAUCUCGAGCCGCAUUCGAGUACGGAUAUAUAUCUAAAACAGCUAAGUAUGUAACCUACUACAGGUACAGUCAAGUUCAGUAAUCAUGAUAAAUAAAAAGUUUAAGUGUGGGGUCUAAAUGAAAAGAUAUGUCCUACAAAUGCAUGGUAAACUUUUCUUUUGUAAACAGGGAGAAGAUAACAAAAGCAAUAGAGUUUGUCUCAAGAAACUAUUCGUAGAUUUUGGAUUUCUUUUUUUGGCAUUCGGAGGUAGUGAUUUACAGAUGGAAAAUUUGUAUGUAUUCUGGGAUCAGUUCACUCCAAGUUUAAUCAUGUCUCACAGGAUUUUAUGCAGCUUAAAUGUACGGAUAAUUUGAAUACAGUGAGAGAGGAUAAGAAACCCUGUAACACCAUGGGCAUUCACAGUUUUUGUGUCAUAUAAAUGGUUUUAAUGUCUAAUGUUAUAUGAAUACUCAACGACAGUGCGACAAAACUUCAACUAAGAAAACAGGGGAAAUUUCCCUCUUGAUAACAUGAAAUCAUCACUUCUUUUCUGCUAACUAUGUUUCUUCUACUUAUUUUUCUUUUUCUUUUUUGGCAGGCUUUCACAUUGAAGUUAAUAUUACUACUCGACGUGGGUUUCUACGGUUGUGUAGUUCUUAUCACCGUGCUAUUUUUGAGGGGACGGCUGAGAGUUAAAAUCAUGGGGUGGAUCUGCGCCUCCUUUGCCACCGCCGUCUUCAUAGCACCUCUGAGUAUCAUCGUAAGAACCUGCCGUUCGUCUAACCAUAUUUGUUCACUACAAGAGCAGCAAUUUUUUAAAAAAAUGAGCUUUAUAAAAUGGAGGGCAAGUUGAAUUAUCAUCUAAGACAAUGAGAGAAAUAAUUGAGAUCUUCUUAACUAGCAAACUAAACACAUGACAACAUGGAAAAGAGAAAUAACUCUAGAUUCAAGAAGAUUGAUAACAAUACAGACAAAUUAAUAUGCUACUGUGUUGCAGAGACAAGUGAUACGAACCAAAAGCGUCGAAUUCAUGCCGUUUACUCUGUCGUUAUUCCUCACUCUCAGUGCGGUCGCAUGGUUCUGCUACGGCCUCAUGCUGAAAGAUAGCUACAUCGCAGUAAGUUUCCAUAUAUAUGUAUAUUUAGGGUGUCACAGAAUACUUGUUAUAUCCUAUCAUUUAAGAAUUAUUUAUUUUUUAGUUUUUAGUAAAAAAAAAAAAAAAAAAAAAUUGAUACUAUCAUUAGAUUACGCAAUUUUUAUCUUGGCUAGUAGCUAACCAACAUGAUUCAAAUGUGAUUGAAUCAGCUUCCGAAUGUGGUCGGUGUCUUAUUCGGUUUGGCCCAGAUGCUUCUCUAUUUCAUCUACAUGAACGGAAAGAAGGAAACACCAGUAUCAGAAAUUACCGACCAGGACAAGAACCCCGCAACACUAGCAAACCCGAAUGCCGAUAUAGAGAUGAACAAGGAGAGCAUCGGAGUUACGACUCCGGAAGUCGAGAGUUCGAUGUCCGUGGCCGGAAAGAACGAGGCAUAGAGCUACCAAACUAACCUCCUCCUCCACCGCAAACUGACUGACAUUGCAGGAUGUUUUAAGCAGCAUAAGUUUUUUCUUUUUCUUUUUUUUUCCUUUUUAUGUUUCAUUAAGUGCCUUCUAGCUGUGUUCUUGUGUCAGUGACAAGUAGUGAAAAUAAGUAACUCCGUAGAACUCCUGCAUGUCUAGAGCACAAAUAAGGAAUGUAAUUUGUAUCCGCAUGAUAUUUGUGAGCAAUUUAAAUCAGAAUUCUAUACAUUCGGAGAUGCAUGCGAUAUAUGGAGAAAGAUCGAUAUGCAGAUUUUCAACUCACAUCUUAAUCUAGAAUGAAAAAAAGGGGUUUCGCAUAAAUUCUGAUUCUGGCAAAUUCGAUUUUGAUUCCAAACUCAAGAAAACAAGGAACAAAACAGCUUGCAUUUUUAUUAUGAUUCCAAAUAAUCGGACUCUAAUUGACGAGAACACGACUUAAAUUUACUACAAUAAGUUGCUGCUGCCCCUACGCGCGCUGAUACUGAUACCGAAUGAAUCUGGCAAUUAAACAGAAGCAAAAUUUUGACCUGAACAACAAGUAAUUCCAUAGAAGAUAAAAUAAAGUGCACAUUACAAAUGCUGUUUUGUCCUUGCCAACCUCUUUAAACUAAACAAACUACACUAAUUAAUCUUGCACAGACGAAAUUAAUCAGUAAACUUUGUACUAUAGGAAUUACUGAACAAAUCAUGAGAAUCCUAAUUCGAUUAAAUUGCGACACCCCAAUUUUUCUUGAUAAGAAUCAUUCCAUAUGCCAUUCAUGUUUUUCGUUACGUAGUUUUAGUCGAUUAAAUUGAAAAUUUGGUAAAAUUAAUCGACAAUUCGCUCUAAUUUCACAAUUCUGAAUAUUUUGAACGCAAGGAAAUGCCGAAAAGGACAAGUAACUAAAAAACACUAAUUCAAUUGACCAAGUAACUCACAUCAAAACAUAUAUAAGUUGAGGAAGUGCAAAAACAAUAAUAAUAAUAAUAAUAAUAAUAAUAAUAAUAAAGUUUAGAAGCCUAUUUCAAAACCGUGCAUAGUUGAGGGGUCUACAUUCAUUUUUAGCUAAAUAUUUAUAUUAGUUGCUUGCACUGUAGACGGUUCUGAUUCGACUAUCUAAGCUUUAAAAACUUGAUUUUAGCACCCAACAUUUUAAUUUAUUGGAUUUACGUCAUUUGAGGACUCUUAUGAUGCAAAAUUUAAGCUGAUUAUUUAUUUUCAUAAAUUUAUAGUUGAUAAAUUGCAUAAAAUAUGCUGAUUAAGCCUGUAAAGAUAAACGACGCAUUCAAUUUUUGAAGUUAAAAUGUUAUGAACAAAAUUCAACAAAAUUCUCAACUAAAGCAAGCAGAAUUAAAUUACUCAAUUCGAGAAAAUCCAAAAGUUGAAGGUACAUCAAUCAAAAAAUUCAAAGUUGUGGGACCAAUUUCAGAAUAGCAUAAAACUCUUUCCCAUUCGAGAAAGAGAAACCCUAGAGGAGGGAGAACACAUCGAGCGAUCUCAAAGUCCAACAAAAAAUUUAAAAAAUAAAAUAAAAUAAACAUUCACGAUCAAGAGCAAUCAAAGGAAAGAAACAACCAAUCGGAUCCAAACAAAUUACUGGACCAAAAAAAAAAAUGCAAUUGAAAAAAUUAAAAUAAAAAAGAUGAGGAAUUGUACGGACGAACCAUGUGAUCCACGUGGAGAAGAGAUCUGAGGAUAUUUUUAGCAAUAAUAAUAAAUAAAUAUUAAAUUAAAAUUAAGCAAUCGCUUGCUUAGAGAAGAGGAAAAAGAAAAAAAAAAAUUUGAAAGAGAGAGAGAGAGAGAGACAGGGGAUGUGGGGGAAAGCGAUUUUGUAUCACACACGCGAGAUGGUAAAAAUGAUGUCGAACCCCUCAACUAUCCCUUCUUCUGAAACCGCCCUUUUUCCUUUUAUUUUGUUUGAGUGGCUAAAAUUGCACUCCUGGUCCUCACAUUAUGAAGCGAGUGACACUUUGGUCCUCAAAUUUUUAUAAUUCAAAAUAAUGAUGUGACAGUAUCGUGAUUGAUGAUAUAGUAAUAGUUAAGAUAUUAUAUUACCGUCAUUCUAGUAACUGUUUGUUUCACCGAAUUUACAGUUCUUAGUAAAAUAGAUUUCGAGUAAAUUAGAGUUUAUGUAAAAUUACUUUUCUUGCACUAUUUGUUUGUAUGGUUGUGGAACUGAAGUUUUUUUAGUUUUGUUAUUUAUUUGGCAGAAAGUAAAUAAUAUAAAAGCUGAAAGUGUAAGAAAAAGUCUAUAAUUUAAAUUUCAAAAAGAAAAUUUUUAUUUUUAUUUACAUUUGUAAUUCAAAAUGACCUCAAGUGGACCAUUUCCACCCUAGCCAUGGAUCUCCAUUUCUUUUGUAGUUUCCCUACAAUUAAAAGUAAAAAAUUAUUUUUAAUUUCACUGCUUUAAAAAUAUAAGAGAAAUGUAUAUAGACUUUAGUGAACUAUCAAUUAAAUUAUUUUGAAGGGUAAGAUGUUUCGUAGUCUCAAACUAGUAAAUUAUUUUGAAGGGUACAAUGUUUUUUUAGUCUUAUGCUAACUUAGUCAUGUGACUUGGAUUUUUCUGAACAUUUUAUGCUUAAUUUUUUAUUAACACAUCUCUAUUUACUCACUUCUGUUUAAAUAUGCUAAAACAUUUCAAAGAUGAAAUACAUUAUUCUAAUAAAUUGUAAUUAUCAAAACCUACCAAGAGACUAGAAACAAACACUCCUAAUUUAGGAUCACAAGAUAUAUUUUAAUAAUACUUUAUUUAUUGGUAAAAAAAACUUAAUAGUCCCAUAUUGGAUUAUGUGGGAGACUUUAAGACUUCGUUUGGAAUUGCGGGGAGAUUGCGUUACGUGCGGUGAAAAAGUACGUUGGAAAAAUACUCUGUUUGUUUCCGUACGUAAUAUUGCAUUCCGCAUAUUUUCUACGGUCCAACCGGAGAACGUAGAAGCAUACUCCUAUAUGCUUUUUCCUCAACUUUAUUUUAUCUAACAACGUUUGAUAGGCAUCAAUACCAAACUAAGCCAAAGUGCUUUAUACAUGGCAAGAAUUAAUAAUUGGGGUUAAUCAUUUUGGGCCAAUGGUUUGGGCCUAAUGCUAGUGGGCCGGAUAGUUAUAGUUGAUAUCAGAAACAAUUCAGUGAGAUGUGUAAGAUUGGGCUAACUAGAAUGCCGAGCAUUUUGGACCGAUGGUUUAAUCGGGUGCAUCGAGUAAUCAGUGCUAGUAGGCUCAACUCUUUAUUUUCUUAUAAAUUAUUCGAUGUGUGGUUAUUUACGUGUGAGCUCGCACCAACAGACGAUACUUGCUGUAUUUAGUAGAUAAAGAGUGUGAUCGAUUGUCGAGAACUUCCCAAUAGAUGAUGCUUGUUGUAUUUAGUAGAUAAAGAGUGUGAUCGAUUGUCGAGAACUGCAUAUACUGUACUUGGCUUUCAAAGUAAGUUUUUGGAAAUAAGAUAAAACAUUUUGCAAAUGAAAAUAUGCUAUCUUACCGAAUUAUGAAUAUCGAGAUCUUGAUUUCAAAAAGUAAAAAAUCAAACUUUUUACUUCCAAUCCAUAUAUUUUGGCAUGUUAAUAUAUUUUACUUACGAAGUAAUUUCCAUUACUCUGAAAAAAUAACUUAAAAUCCAAAUGUGGCAUAUCAUUCAAGACAUUUAAUCACAACUUUCAUCUACUAAAUAUUAUAAAUUUCUUAAUUAAAUUAAACAGAUAUACUAAAUAAAAUAUCCCGGCAUCCAAAUUAAAUCACAGUAAAUAAAUUAGGGAUAAUAUCUAAUAUAAAUAUACCCAUCAAAACUUUUGAAAUAUUUUAUAUACACCUAUUUAUCUUUUGAUUUCAAAUAUGUCUCUCAUAUGUUUCUUCAUUAUUCAAAAAUAAUCCCACUAGUGUUAAAUUUCUACUAAAGUUAAAUUUGGUGACGGUAUCCAUAAAUUCAUCUCCGAUUAAGCCCGGGUUAAAUUUUUACUAUAGUUAAAAAAAAAAUCAAAAUACCUCUUUUAUCCCUAACACAAGGAUAAAUAAAAAAAAUUGGUGACGGUAAAAGAAUAUAUUUAAAAAGUCAAAAAAUCAAAAUAUUUCUUUUGCCUCUAACUUAGAGUAAAUAAAACAAAUUGAUGGCCGUACAUAAAAUGAUAUAUUUAUAAGGGCAAAUAGUAGUUUUAUAAACAUAACGACUGUCCCUGAUAUAUAGUUCACUAAUAGAAUUUAACUCCAGAUAUAUAUUUGAAAUAACUUGAAACGUUGAAAAAAACAUUAUUAAUAUCAGCCUUCUAAAGAUGAAAAGGAAAAGUGCUUCCCCCAAAGGCAGUACACAACCAUACAGUAGUAGUGUUAGCCACAACAGUGGCCCAUAUAUGAUUUAGCAAAAGUAUAUUCCGCCGAGGACCCGUCACCUCCUUCGAAAAAUUCUAGAAUACAACGGGUAUAUUAGUGACGUGGCAUAACAAACCAAUCAAAUAUAUCCUUUUAAGGGUAUAUGUCCCAUUAUGAUUAUAAAAAAAUAUUUUUAUUGUAUUUUUAUUUGAAAAGAAAGAAUAUGAUUGGCUUAUUAUUGAUGACGUGGUGCAAGUGUGACAGUGUAGAAUUCCUCCACCUCCCUCUCCCCGCCACAAAUACCCAUCAAUAAUUUUUUACAACUGAAAAUAAAAAUUCUAUAAAAAGUGGUGAUAUAGCACUAAAAUUUUCGAUCAGAAAUAUUAAUCUUAUUGUAGAUAGUAUAAAGAAUUUUGUAUCAAAAUAUUAUCUGAUUUGAAUACUUCUACACCGUUAAACUUGAAAACGGCAGACAUCAACUAAUAAAAAUUAUUGAUUUUGAACCCUUUCGAUCGCUAGGUAAAUGAUAUCAAAAAAUCGCAAAAAAUUAUUUUUUAGAAACUUCAAAUACGCUAGAUCAAGUCUAACGGAGCCGAUCGUCGAUUCGAAAAUUUUAUCAUCGAAAACGGCUCAGGAGCACGAAGGCCUCCGUGCUCCUAAGAACACAGCAGUCUUGCUAUAUAUAUAUAUAUAUAUAUAUAGAGAGAGAGAGAGAGAGAGAGAGAGAGAGUUGAGCUGGAAUGCUAUCGGAAGUAUAGCGAAUCUAGUACUUCCAACUUUUUGGUCCUUAGAUCAAUCUCUUUGAUCAUUUCUAACAUUUGGAUUAAUACUAUUACCAUAUGGGGACCACUCAACUCUAAGAUACCGUUUGGUAUGGGUAUAAAGAGGGGAUAAGGGGGUUGUCCCCCUCUUUAUACCCAAACACUCAUGGCUAUGGGUGGGAACAGCUGUUCCCACCCAUCGCAUAGAAUUACAGGGGUGGAAAACGAACAACCGUUCCACCCCUAAGAAUUUUAAAAAAAAAUCAAAUUUAAAAAAAUUAAAUUUAAAAUUUUAUAAUUAAAUUAAGUUAAAUUAAAUUAAAAAUCUCAAUAUUUUAACUUAUAAUUUUAUGUUUUUAAAUUUAAUUUGAUUUAAAAUUUAUAUUUUAAAUUUUAAAUUUUAAAUUUUAAAAUGUUAAAUUUUUAAACUUUAACUUUAAUUUUA
rnacentral:lncRNA from 1 species